AGCGAACGUUUGCGGCGGGCUUAACACAUGCAAGUCGAACGAUAAUCCCUUCGGGGAGGAAAGUGGCGCACGGGUGCGUAACACGUGGAUAACCAACCCAUUGGUUUGGGACAACACCGGGAAACUGGUGCUAAUACCAGAUGUGUCGCAGCUGUCUUCAGGCGGUUGCGAGAAAGGCCCGCAAGGGUCGCCAACGGACGGGUCCGCGUCCCAUCAGCUAGUUGGUGAGGUAAUGGCUCACCAAGGCAAAGACGGGUAGCUGGUCUGAGAGGAUGAUCAGCCACACUGGAACUGAGACACGGUCCAGACUCCUACGGGAGGCAGCAGUGGGGAAUAUUGCGCAAUGGGCGAAAGCCUGACGCAGCCACGCCGCGUGAGCGAUGAAGGUCUUCGGAUCGUAAAGCUCUGUGGGGGGAGAAGAAGAAAGCCGGUGAAGAGCCGGCCCUGACGGUAUCCCCUUAGCAAGCACCGGCUAACUCCGUGCCAGCAGCCGCGGUAAAGU
rnacentral:rRNA from 1 species